GAUGAACGCUGGCGGCGUGCCUAAUACAUGCAAGUCGAGCGAACGGACGAGAAGCUUGCUUCUCUGAUGUUAGCGGCGGACGGGUGAGUAACACGUGGAUAACCUACCUAUAAGACUGGGAUAACUUCGGGAAACCGGAGCUAAUACCGGAUGAUAUUUUGAACCGCAUGGUUCAAAAGUGAAAGACGGUCUUGCUGUCACUUAUAGAUGGAUCCGCGCUGCAUUAGCUAGUUGGUAAGGUAACGGCUUACCAAGGCAACGAUGCAUAGCCGACCUGAGAGGGGGAGCGGGGGCGCGGGGGCGGGGAGGGGGUGGAGGGGCCGAGGGGAGGGGGGAGUGGGGGAGGUGCCGCGAUGGGCGAAAGCCUGACGGGGCAACGCCGCGUGAGUGAUGAAGGUCUUCGGAGCGUAAAACUCUGUUAUUAGGGAAGAACAUAUGUGUAAGUAACUGUGCACAUCUUGACGGUACCUAAUCAGAAAGCCACGGCUAACUACGUG
rnacentral:rRNA from 1 species